rnacentral:piRNA from 1 species
UUGUCAUUCGGAGACUCCCCGGUGU